UACGUAGGGGGCAAGCGUUGUCCGGAUUUAUUGGGCGUAAAGAGCGUGUAGGCGGCUUGGUAGGUCCGCUGUGAAAACUAGAGGCUUAACCUCUAGACGUCGAUGGAAGCCGUCUGGCUAGAGUCCGGAAGAGGAGAAUGGAAUUCCUGGUGUAGCGGUGAAAUGCGCAGAUAUCAGGAAGAACACCCGUGGCUAAGGCGGUUCUCUAGUACGGUACUGACGCUGAGACGCGAAAGCGUGGGGAGCGAACAGG
rnacentral:rRNA from 1 species